CCUACGGGAGGCAGCAGUAGGGAAUAUUGCUCAAUGGGGGAAACCCUGAAGCAGCAACGCCGCGUGGAGGAUGAAGGUUUUCGGAUUGUAAACUCCUUUUGUUAGAGAAGAUAAUGACGGUAUCUAACGAAUAAGCACCGGCUAACUCCGUGCCAGCAGCCGCGGUAAUACGGAGGGUGCAAGCGUUACUCGGAAUCACUGGGCGGAAAGAGCGCGGAGGCGGGAUAGCAAGUCAGAUGUGAAAUCCUAUGGCUUAACCAUAGAACUGCAUUUGAAAAUGUUAUUCUAGAGUAUGGGAGAGGUAGGUGGAAUUCUUGGUGUAGGGGUAAAAUCCGUAGAGAUCAAGAGGAAUACUCAUUGCGAAGGCGACCUGCUAGAACAUAACUGACGCUGAUGCGCGAAAGCGUGGGGAGCAAACAGGAUUAGAUACCCUAGUAGUC
rnacentral:rRNA from 1 species